rnacentral:rRNA from 1 species
GACGAACCGUGCGAACGUUGUUCGGAUUCACUGGGCUUAAAGGGCGCGUAGGCGGUCGACCAAGUCUGGGGUGAAAUCUUUCGGCUUAACCGGAAAAGUGCCCCCGAUACUGGCCGGCUAGAGGGAGAUAGGGGCAUGUGGAACUUCCGGUGGAGCGGUGAAAUGCGUAGAUAUCGGAAGGAACGCCGGUGGCGAAAGCGAUGUGCUGGAUCUCUUCUGACGCUGAGGCGCGAAAGCCAGGGGAGCAAACGGG